GUGAUACAAAUGUUCCAUAAAAACUUCUGCUUUGAUUAGUAAUCUAGAAACAUGCCAGCUUUGACACACGACAGCAGGACAAAGAAAAAUGUGAGGUGGCUAUUAAUGACUGCCCAAAAAAGUUGAGGCAAGUUUCGUUUCCAGUGUAAUUGCAUUAAAUUUGCAUGACUGGAAACUUACCAAAUGAUCUUUUGAAACCUGGC